rnacentral:rRNA from 1 species
CCUACGGGAGGCAGCAGUGAGGAAUAUUGGACAAUGGGCGCAAGUCUGAUCCAGCCAUGCCGCGUGCAGGAAGAAGCAUCUAUGGUGUGUAAACUGCUUUUGUACAGGAAGAAACACUCCCUCGUGAGGGAGCUUGACGGUACUGUAAGAAUAAGGACCGGCUAACUCCGUGCCAGCAGCCGCGGUAAUACGGAGGGUCCGAGCGUUAUCCGGAAUCAUUGGGUUUAAAGGGUCCGUAGGCGGUUUAAUAAGUCAGUGGUGAAAUCUGGUCGCUCAACGAUCAAACGGCCAUUGAUACUGUUAGACUUGAAUUAUAAGGAAGUAACUAGAAUAUGUAGUGUAGCGGUGAAAUGCUUAGAUAUUACAUGGAAUACCAAUUGCGAAGGCAGGUUACUACUUAUGGAUUGACGCUGAUGGACGAAAGCGUGGGGAGCGAACAGGAUUAGAUACCCUGGUAGUCCACGCCGUAAACGAUGGAUACUAGCUGUUCGGAGCAAUCUGAGUGGCUAAGCGAAAGUGAUAAGUAUCCCACCUGGGGAGUACGUUCGCAAGAUGAAACUCAAAGAGUAGUAGACGAGAGAGAGCGACGACGACGACGAGGAGGAGGNG